rnacentral:misc_RNA from 1 species
CCGAGUACCGGGUCUCUAAGGCCCUUACUCCCCCACCCUUUGUGUACCUUACCGUUUGAUUCAGUUGCCUUGGUGGGCUAUUUUCCCCUAGGAAAUUGCUAACCCGUUCCCUAGGAACAGGGAAAACCCGCCAGGGGGACUCCCCUAAACUCUUUUGAAUUGGGACGUCUGAGAAAACAAAUCAAAUAAAAAUUA